rnacentral:rRNA from 1 species
GACGAACGCUGGCGGCGUGCCUAACACAUGCAAGUCGAGGGCUUUAGUAGCAAUACAAAGAGCACUGGCGCACGGGUGAGUAACGCGUAGAUCAUCUGCCCCUAACACUGACAUAACAGUUCUAACGGACUGCUAAUAUCAGAUGUGAUGAGCAAUCAUUAAAGGGAAACCGGUUAGGGAUGAGUCUGCGUCUGAUUAGGUAGUUGGUGAGGUAACGGCUCACCAAGCCUACGAUCAGUAACUGGUCUGAGAGGACGAACAGUCACACUGGAACUGAGACACGGUCCAGACUCCUACGGGAGGCAGCAGUGGGGAAUUUUGGACAAUGGGCGCAAGCCUGAUCCAGCAAUGCCGCGUGCAGGAAGAAGGCC